rnacentral:rRNA from 1 species
GACGAACGCUGGCGGCGUGCUUAACACAUGCAAGUCGAACGGAACGGCCCGGCUUUUGUGGGCUGCUCGAGUGGCGAACGGGUGAGUAACACGUGAGUAACCUGCCCUUGACUUUGGGGUAACUUCAUGACACUGGGGCUAAUACCGGAUAGGAGCUCCUGCUGCAUGGUGGGGGUUGGAAAGUUUCGGCGGUUGGGGAUGGACUCGCGGCUUAUCAGCUUGGUGGUGGGGUAGUGGAUUACCAAGGCUUUGACGGGUGGCCGGGCUGCGAGGGUGACCGGCCACAUUGGGACUGAGAUACGGCCCAGACUCCUACGGGAGGCAGCAGUGGGGAAUAGUGCACAAUGGGCGGAAGCCUGAUGCAGCAACGCCGCGUGCGGGAUGACGGCAUUCGGGUUGUAAACCGCUUUCGCCUGUGACGAAGCGUGAGUGACGGUAAUGGGUAAAGAAGCACCGGCUAACUACGUG